CGGAGCCUGGAAGAGGGCGUGGCGUGGCGCUCGGGGUGGAGCCUCUCGGCCGCCCCUAGUACGCCUCUGGGCGCGCGCUUCACCCCGGGUGCAGCCUGCUAGACUCGCUGUGCUCGCGGGCCGGCCCGCAGGGCGACUUGGCGACUUGCUCUUGAGCCUCGGCGCGCUCCCAGGUUACUCACCAUCCUCCCGGUCGAAGGCCCUGUCGAAAAUUCUAUCAGUUGGUUCCCUGGGGAACGGCAGGCAGUGACUCCUGGGAUCCUCUCAGUCUGAGUCCCCUGCCGAUUCAUGGACUGGACUGCAUCCUGAGUUAAAUCCUCACUUCUCAACACGCAGGAGCUGCUCACUUGUCGCUGCUGGUUUGUGAAACAACAUUGGUCUAAUUCAUUUACCGCAGCAGUGACACUUGAAGCUCUGAGACAGGUAAACUGACACAAGGUGGAGCUGCCUGAGCCCCUCAUGGACAAUGCCUGGAAUGCAGCAGAAGCACAUUUGGCAAGAGAGUACCCCAUCCUGGCAUUCCUUUGGGGCCUUACCCCAGGGCUACUGUACUGUCCUAGCCACCAGAGAGUGGGUAAGCCAUCCUAACUUCUAGCCCUCACAGGAAAUGCCAACACUGCCAGAUUCAUCGCUGACAGAUCUGCUUGGACUUGCUGCUGAAGACUGAUGGGGCUUGGGGUCCACAGCCCUCAUUAAGAUGUCCUUCUUAGAGCCCCAAGUCCUAUUAGAGGUCCCAGUCUUACUAUGUAAUUCAAGCUGGCCUUGAACUCACUAUGGAGCCCAGGCUGUCCUGGAACUUGCAGUGAUCCUUCUGCUUCAGCCUCCUGAGUGCUGAGAUUUUAAAUAUGUACCACCAUACCUGUCUACAGUUUCAAUCCUAUCUGUCCCCAGGGACCCAUGUAUUGAAGAUUUACUCUCCAGACUGGUGCUUUGGGGAUGUGGUGGAAUCUUUAAGAGGCGGGAGGAAAUGAGGUCAUUACGGAUGGUGGGAUCUGGCCAUUUCCUGUCUGCUGUUUGGUUCCUGACUGCUGUAGGUGAGCAGCUUUGUUCUACCUGCUCCUGCCAUGCUGUGCUGCCUUGCCACAAGUAACAACACCAGAUGACCAUGGACUGAAGCAGUGGAAACCAAGAGCCAUGAAAAGAAAUCUUUCCUCCUUUAAGACCUUUACCUUAGGUAUGUUGUCAUAGCAGCUCAAAGCUGACUACACAGGAUCCAUGUAGGGAUGUCCCUUACAGAGCCUGCAUAGAAGCUCAGGAGAAUGUGUACUCUUGCUUAAAACUGCCAUCCUGGCCACCAAGCCUGGCUGCAGGUUGGAAUCAUGUGGGUUCUUACCAAUGCCCACUCCACUGGUCCACUGGUUCAACUGGUCAGAAGUGGAGUCUGGGCAUAAUGAAACAGGGUUCCUAGGUGAUUCUAAUGCACACCCUGAUUUUGGAGCAAGAUUUUAUUGCCAGCGGUUGCAAGCUGGCUCUGCACAGCUCAUGGGACACAAUGGUUCUUUGUGAUGUGUUUAGUUUUAAGUAUAAUAAGUACAGUAAUAAAUAAUAGAGUAAUAAAUAACUUAUAGUCAGAGGCAUCAUCACUGUAAGAUAAAGUCCCAUUUCAGAGAUUUGGAAAUAUAGAAAAUAGGUGCUUUUGCUUGGAUGAAAAAUAGUUUUGCCUCACCUGUAAAACUAAUCCUCUCUGAAUGCGGCGGUCCUGGCCUCCUCAGCUCCGUGUUCUCCUCCUGCAGCGCUUAGUGGUGGGAGGUAUACCCUCAACUUUUGCAGGGUAUGCACCAGUACCAGGCUGCUUCAUUACUGCCCAUUUGCUGGACUCUUUUCCCUUAUCUUCUUGGACAGAGCCUCAUUCUGAAGAGAAAAACUUUUUUGUAUGUGGACUCAUUGACUGAUUAUAAAAGAAGCUAUAGACAGUGUCAGGUAGAAAUGGGAGAACGGGUGGUGUCGUUAUGGAAAGAGGGAAAUGGCCAGUGAUCCCAUUCCUGGGCCAUGAGAGGGGACAGAACAUCCCUCACCAUGAGAAAGGCAGGAUCAAGGAGUCAGCUCUGAUGAUGCUGUCUCUUCAUUACCUGAAAUCAUGCUGUUUGUCUACUGACUUCUUUGCUCAUGUCCUCUGUGUGUGUAAUUUCAAUGAAAGAAGGACUGGGAGCCAUUUCCCCCCAUAUUUUCAGGCCUGGAGUGGUGCCUAGCUCAUAGGAAAUGACAAUAAUUUUUUUUGAGGCAGGAUUUCAAUCUGUAGUUCAAGCUGUCCUUGGACUCACUGUGCAGCCCAGGCUGACCCUCCUGCCUCGGCCUCCCAAGUGUUUGUGCCACCAUGCCUGGUUAAUAAAUAUGUUUUGAAUAAGCAUGCCAUUUGAAACAUUAUGCAUGGAAUGUUUUCAUAUAAUAACUGAGGAUGUAAUUAAAUCUUAGUUUUGCUAGGGCCGGGGGUUUAGCUCAGUAGCACAAGUGCCUACCUGGUGAUCACAAGGUACCAAAAAACUCCACAAAAAAACCUCACUUUUUCUAAAGCCUUUAACUUCAACUUACAAAUCUUAGUAGUUCAUUUGUUAAUCUAAUAAUAUUGCUAGAAAAUAAUAAGAAUCACCUAUCUUUUGAUUUAUGUGUUAUCAACUCAGAUGUAACAAAUUCUCUUUAAACAUUUAACACUACUUAAAAAUUGAAAUUUUAAAAAUCAAUUAAAUUUCUGUAGAUAUCACUCACUUUAUGUGUCUGUGUCUCUCAAACAUUUCAAACUCUGAUUGGCAGAAUUAAAAAUUUCACAAGUAGGGGCUGGGGAUUUAUCUCAGCAGCAUAAGCGCCUGCCUUGCAAGCAGGCGGUUGUGAGUUCGAUCCCUGGUACUGAUAAAAAUGAAAAAGACAAAAAAAAACUUCACAAGUAAAAUAUUUGCAAGCAUUUAAAGAACACUUGCACAUCUAAAAUUCAAAUUUUUAAAAUGUGGUACCGGGGAUUGAAGCCAGGGCCUUUGCACUGAGCUAGACUCCUAGCCCUUUAAAAAAAAGUUUUUAUUUUGAUGCUAAAAAAAAAUAGUGGAGUACAGACCAGCAGCAAAAUACAAACUCUGGAAUCUGGAAUCAAUACACCCAGAAAACAACCAAUUACUGAAGAAGAAUAAAAAUCAAGAAUCAAAAAAAAGAUAACAGCCUGGGGGUUCAGCUCUGCCUGUCAAGCGUGAGGUUAUGAGUUCAAUUGCCAGUACCAAAAAAAGGGUAAGAAACUGAACAUGUGUAGAAGAAAGAAUGCAGCAGUCUGGACCCUAACCCUGGCUCCUGGGGAGACGGUCAGCAAGCAGCCCCAGGGAGAAACGACAGGCCAGGCUUCGCCCACCCUAGCCCCAGUAAAGGGGUGCUCUGUUUGCUCUCACCAUCUGUCAGUGUGAUCAAGGAAAUGCCUCAGCAGCAUGGCUGUCAAAGCCUGGGGUGUACCAGAGAUGUCUGGAUGGGGAUGGGGGCACCUCACACCUGCACAGCCCAUAAAACUAGGCUGAGAAAGGAAUGAAUGACUUCAGCUACACAUAAGGACACAGCAAGAGACAGCUGGAGUGCACAGGGCAGAGCUACUGACCGGGCUCCUCAGCAGGAAAGGCCGGGCAGAACUCUGCAUUUACACACAAGAUGCGUGUGGAAACCAAGUAGGACUGAGUAGUGACUGAUUCCUGGUGGAUUCCAGUGCUGCAGACCUUAGCAACAAAACACUCAUUCAAACACACUGGAGAAUUUCUCUUUCUUCAGUAUGAGGCGUUGGUUUUUUCUUUUUCUUUUUUCUUUUUCUUCUUUUUUUGUAUUCUUUCUUGUUACUUUUACCUAGUUAUAUUAGUUUUGUUUUACUCCUUAAUCGAAUCCUUUGUCUCACUUUUCUCUCAUCUUCCUGUUCUUCGUUUUUAAAAUUUUACUUUUUUCACUUUCCCUUUCCAUUUUUUUAAAAUUUGUCUUUUUGAGACAGGGUCUUGCUGUGCAGUUCAGGCUGGCCUUGAGCUCACUCUGUAGCCCAGGCUGGUCUCGAACUCGCAAUGAUCCUCCCACCUCAGCCUUCCGAGUGCUGAGAUUACAGGCGUGAGCCACCACGCCCGGCUCCCUUUCCAUUCUUAUUAGUAUUACUAUUGAUCUGUAUUAAUCUUUAGAAAUUUAGCUAUCUUAUUAUUGUUCAAAUCAUUUCUACUAUUAAUGUUGGUUAGUUGUUGCAUUUAACAGAUAUUUAGUGUAUGUCAGUACUUGGCUUGUCUUUGUGUCUUACUGUUGUAAAAGUCUUUUCUAUUGUUAGAGGUGGCACAGCUUUAGGUUUUACUGGUUCAUAUGGUAUGUCAGGAUCCAGUUUGUCUUUGGUGCUUUCACUGUUGCUGAUUUUGUUGCUAUUACCAGUGGAGGCAUACUUGUUGCAAUUAAUUGGUUUUUACUGUAUGCCCACAUCUAAUUGUCUUUGUGUCAUCAACGUUAGUUUCUUUCUGGGAAACUGCAUACUGGGUCAGUUAAAGUGUACUUUCCCUCCCUAAGUUAAUGGACAUGGUCAGAUGGUAGGACUGAGACAGAGGCCAAUAGUUAACCAGGCCCAGAGUGCACCGCAGAAAGCUGGCACCAACUGAAAAACUCUCUAUGCCAACAACAAAAUCUUUCCCCUUUAACUGACCCUCGAGCUUCAGUACACACACCUAUAAACACACGCACAAGCACAAGACUAUUUCGGCUUGGGUUAUUUAUUUAUUUACUUAUUUGAGACAGGGGCUUGCUAUGCAGUUCAGCCUGGCCUUCAACUCACUUUGUAGCCUAGGAUGGCUCAAACUCAUAGUAGUCCCCCUGACUCAAGUCUCCCGAGUGGCUGGGGUUAUGGGUGUGCACUCCCACGCCCAGUUUGGUUUGUGUUAGUGUCCCCUCAAAACCUCAUGAGUUGAGGUUUUUUGAAAGGUGGCUGGGUCUGGAGUGUGUGAUGCUGGAAUUGAUUCACAGUGCAGUGCUAGCAUCAAGGACACUCAGAUUAAGGGUGUGGAUCCCACCCGCCCUAAGUAGCCUGGAUAAUAUAGGAGAUAAGCAGAGUGAGGUCACUCCUUGUUGCUUUGCUACCUUCUGCCUGCCAUGAACUGUUUUCUUCUAUGAAGCCAUCCUGCCUUGAAGCCAGCUGGUUAUGGAUUAAAACCUCUAUAAACUGUGAGCUAAAUAAACCUUUUCCCCUUUAAUUUUGGGUGUCUGGUAUUUUGUCUCAGCAGCAAGAGAAAAGUAACUAAAACAAGAUCAAUAGAAACAUAAUAAAAGGCAAAAAAAUGCAUCUAAAAACUCCCAACUUCCCCAAAGCUGACUGAUGGGGUAUUGACGGAAAAGAAACCAAAAGCCUGACAGUAGAAUUAUGUGAAGUGAUAAACGAGGAAAUAAAACUGGGAAUUUAGCUCAAUAGCACAAGUGCCUGCCUGGCAAGUACUAGGUCAUGAGUAAGAUCUCCAGUACAGAAAACCAAAACAAAACAGGAAACAAAAUAUAAAUAAGGUAUGUAUGUUCAAAAAUGAUACAACUAAACAGAAAAUAGACUUGAUAAGCUGAUCAGUGAACUUAAAGGAGACACUAAUAAAAGUUAUUGCUGUGCUAUUGAGCUAUAUCCAGGCCCCUUGUUUUUGUUUUUUGUUUUUUUUUUAAAUAGGAUUCAACUGUUCAGGCUGCCCUUGAACUCAGUUUGUAGCCCAGGCUGGCCUCAAACUUGCAACAAUCCUCCUGCCUUAGCCUCUGGAGUGCACCACCAUACCUGGCCCAUGGAUAGAAUUUAAAAACCUGUUAGAAAAAAGGAACAAAUGACUUACAAAGUUAAACCUAUUAGAAUUACAGCAGACUUUCCAACACAAACUUUAAAGACCAGAUCUUGGAGUGAAGUGUUUAAAGCCCUAAAAGAAAACAGCUUCUAAACCAGACAAACAUAACAUGCAAAACUGUUCUUCAACAUUGAUGGAGAGUCUGGGCGCAGUGGUGCUUGCCUGUAAUCCCAGCAUUUAGGAGGCUUAGGCAGGAGGAUCUCUGCAAGUUUGAGGCCAGCCUAGGCUACAAAGUGGGUUUAAGGCCAGCCUAAACUUCAUAGUGAAACCCUGUCUCAAAAGGACUCCCCCACAAAAAUUGAUGGAGAAAGAAGGUCCUUCCAUGGUAAAGAACAACUUUAGAAAUUCCUGACCACUAAACUAGGACUCUAAAAUGUGCUCAAGAGUACCUUAGAAAGAUAUAGUGAAGCCAAUUGUGCCAGAAAGUCUAAUGGAACAAAUACACUGUGUAGGGUUAGCAGUGAAGCAAAAAGGAGGGGAUCACCACCAAAAAAAUAAUAGAAAUAAAUCAACACCUUUCAGUAAAAACACAGAAAGUGAAUGAUCUCAUCUCCCCAAUUACAAGACACAGAUGGGCAGAGUGGAUCAUAAAAAGCUCAAGAGUUUGCUGCAUAUAAGAAGCACAUUUAAUCUGAAAAGAAAUUCAUAAAUAAAUCAAAGGAUGGAAAAUAAUAUUCCAUACAAUAGUAGCCAUAAAACAAGCAGAGUAACUAUCCUAUGCUCAGGCAAAGAGGACUUCAAGCCAAAAUGAUCAAAAGAGGCAAAGAAGAUGACUACAUAUUAGUUAAGGUCACAAUUUAACAGGAAACACAGCAAUAAUAAAUAUAUAUGCACGAAGUACUGGCAUAGCCAACUUCAUAAGAGAAACACAACCGGACAUAAAAGAUCAACACAGUUAUAGUGGGAAACCACAAUACCCCACUGUCAUAAAUAGAUCAGCUAGAUUCAAAACAAAACAAAGCAAAACAACCACCCAAAGGAAUAUCAGUUGAACCACACUUUGGAAAAAAUGAAUUUAAUAGAUACCUACAAAGUGAUUCACCUAACAACAGAAUAUAACUAUUCUCAACAGCACACUGAACUUACUCCAAAAUAGAUCACAUCUAGCCUAUAAAACAUGCUUAAGUAAAUUUCAAAGAAUCAAUAUUACCCCAUUAAUACUGUUAGAUCAUAGUGCAGUGAAACUAGAAAUCAGCAAAAGAAACCACAGAAAUUAUGAAAACACAUGGAAAUUAAUCCACUCUUAAAUGAUCAAUGGAUUGCAGGAGAAAUCCAGGAAGCAAUUAGACAUUUUUUUGAGUGAAAUGAGUGAGCAGUGAGAGAAAUGGGGACCCUUCCAUAGACUAGGAGGUUUCAACAGAGGACAUGCUGGGACCGGGCAGACUAGCUGGAACAGGACACUGCAGUGACUUCAGUCACAUAUUCCCCUCCCAAGUGGGAUUGGUAGGAAGCCCUGGCCUGGGUGACGCCAUGGACUAAGACCCAGUAGCCUAGCCCAAACCAGGUCCCAGCACCUGGAGGUGCAUCCUAGCAGUGAAGCCUUCAGUAGGUUGACUGACCUGGAGGGGCGGGCCCAGCAGAGGCUGUCCAGGUCUGGGUCUCCCUAGUACACUGCGGUGGGCGGGAACACCUAGCUGGCACAAUUCAAACACUAUAACUGACAAAGAAAGAAACUGGGCCUCCUAUGGAAGGAACAAAAAAUAUGGGAAGAGGGAGCAACAAGAAAGGAUCCUCAGCCCCCGAUCCUGAGAACACUGAUCCAGGAAAAGUUAAUGCAAAGCAGAAUGAGGACAGAAAACAAGCAAUAUCAGACACGGCACCAAUAGACAAAGUGAUAUCUCCAGAGCCUCAUAGACGAGUUCAAAAGUGAAGUAUUUAAUGAAAUAAAGCAAGAUAUAAGUAGAAUAGUUAGAGAAAUGCUAAGCACUGGAAAGACAGAAAAAAAGGGAGAAUUCUUUGAUGGAGAAAAUAGAGGAAACAUAGAAUACAUGAAGCAGGUUCAAAGAGAUUACCAGGAAAUUAAAAACUCUAUUGAAAGCUGGCAUAACAGCUUGAAAGAAACUAAGGAUAGAUUAUCUGAACUGGAGGACAGAUUUGUAAUGUGGGAGCAUGAAAUAAAAAACUUAAAAAUAACAAGAAAACAAACAGCAAUAAUACAAAGGCUUGAAGAUGAUAAAAGGAUCUAUAACUUAAGAAUUAAGAACAUAAAAGAAGAAGUAGGGACACAAACAAAUGAACUACAAAGACUAUUCACAGAAAUAAUCGAGGAGAAUUUCCCUAAUUUAGCAAAA